UACGUAGGGGGCAAGCGUUGUCCGGAAUCAUUGGGCGUAAAGAGCGUGUAGGCGGCCCGAUAAGUCCGCUGUGAAAGUCCAGGGCUCAACCCUGGAAUGCCGGUGGAUACUGUCGGGCUCGAGUUCGGAAGAGGUGAGUGGAAUUCCAGGUGUAGCGGUGAAAUGCGUAGAUAUCUGGAGGAAUACCGGUGGCGAAGGCGGCAUCCUGGACCGACAUUGACGCUGAUGAGCGAAAGCUAGGGGAGCAAACGGG
rnacentral:rRNA from 1 species